rnacentral:rRNA from 1 species
CACGUAGGGGCCAAGCGUUGUCCGGAUUUAUUGGGCGUAAAGAGCUCGUAGGCGGCUCGGUAAGUCGGGUGUGAAACCUCCAGGCUCAACCUGGAGACGCCACCCGAUACUGCUGUGGCUAGAGUCCGGUAGGGGAGCGUGGAAUUCCUGGUGUGAGCGGUGAAAUGCGCAGAUAUCGUCAAGAACACCUAUAGCGAAGGCAGCUUACUAGGCUGUAACUGACGCUGAGGCACGAAAGUGUGGGGAUCAA